rnacentral:rRNA from 1 species
UACGUAGGGUGCGAGCGUUAAUCGGAAUACUGGGCGUAAAGCGUGCGCAGGCGGCGCGUUAAGACAGGUGUGAAAGCCCCGAGCUUAACUUGGGAAUUGCGCUUGUGACUGGCGUGCUGGAGUGUGGCAGAGGGAGGUGGAAUUCCACGUGUAGCAGUGAAAUGCGUAGAGAUGUGGAGGAACACCGAUGGCGAAGGCAGCCUCCG